UUUAAUGUCUUACUUUGACAUUUAUUCAUGUGUCCGUUUUUUGUUCAUUCUGUAAUUCAUAUAGUCAUUAACUUCUUCUUUGUUUAUUCAAAAAUUAUUAUUAGGAAACUGAUAUGUAUGUGGAAGACAUUGGAUUAGAAAGAAAAAAAAUGUUAAAACAUUUGUAGAACCUCAAAUGAAGGUACAUUUAUUUUCACUUUGUAACAUUUUUAAAAGGGGGGCAAUGGGACAAAAAGGAGGAACCUGUGGAUGUUCCCAGCCUUCUCUUCUUGCUAACAAAUUUCCCUGCUUUGCCUGCUUGGUUUUCUCCAUUCUUUUUGUUCUGAGGUGAGUCUUGCCUUGACAGACAAGUUCUUUUUGGGCUUUAGGGAUGAGAAUAGGGAGGAAAGGGAGAAAGAACAAAAGUUCAAAAGAUUAAAUUUGGAGGAGGAGGUUAUCUUGACGUGAGAGUGGAAUUUGAAGACAGAUAUAAAGGAGAAGCAGCAGCUGCUGUGUGUGAACCACUAGAUGGGGGAGGCAGAGGGGGAUUUUUAAGAAUAGCUAUGGACUCUGUGCCCUUCAUAGUGUUCAAGAAAAUAAAUGAAGAACUUGAGUCACUUUGAAAUUAUUUUUAGUUGCUGCACUGUCGUGGGGUUUUUUUUAUUUGUUGUUUUAAUCAUGAUGUUGUUCAUAUGGGUUAUUACUUUAUAGUAUCCAGGGCUCUAUUGAAUUGCAAGUGACAGAAAUUAACUCACACUAUUCAGGCAUUAAAUUUGGCUUAUGUGUUGAAAAGUCCUAGGAGAUGAUCUUUGGGAAUAUGAGGACCCAGUGCUCAAGCACCACCAUACUCUCUGUCCCUUUUUCUCUCACCCUUUCUGUCUCUCUCUCCCUUUCUCUCUGUCCAUUUUUCUCUCUCUCUCCAUUUUUCUCUCUCUCUCCCUUUCUCUCUCUCUCCAUUUCUCUCUCUCUUUCUCUCUCCUUUUCUCUCUCUCUCCCUUUUUUCUCUCUCUCUCUUUCUCUCUCUCUCCCCUUCUCCCCCGCUACUUUCCCUCCCUCUCCCUCCCUCCUUCUCUCUCCUUUCUCCCCUCUAUAUUGAUUUCUUUCUCUAGAAGGCUAUGUUGAUGUGGUAGGAAAGUUAACUUGUGUGUGUUACCUAUGAUUCUUACAGACUCAGAAAAGAGAAACUCUCACAUCCAGCAUCCAAAUCAGACUCUGGCAAAAGGGCAUUUAUUCACCCUGCUUGGGUCACUUUUUUACACUUGUGGUGGGGGAUUAGGGAAACUAAGGAAGACAUAAUUUCAGAUGACCACUUCAGUGUUACAUUGGAAUGGAUCCUUCAAUCUAGGUUAAAAGAAACUUUCCAGCUGUAGGCAGAGGAAUAAGUUGUGCUGUAGUUCACAUUGUAUCUCUUGUUAAACAAGUCUCUCUUCUUCACUGAGUUAUUUCCACUACUAUCACCAUAUGGGGUUGAAUUUUAACUUAAAUAUAGAUCUGUAGUGGUCUUUCUAAAUGUCUUGCAAAGGACUAGACUCCAAGGUAGAUUUGAAAUGAAAGCUAUUGGAUAUGCAGAAAAAAGAACAUGGGAAUAGAGCUGCAAACAAAGUCACAAUAAGUGAAGCAAAUAUUCUCCCCUUGGAAAAAUGAUGGACUUAAACUUAAACCUCAUCUAGAAACACUCAAGUCCUUUGCAGACUUCCUAAGAAGGGAAGAUGCUUAGUAGGAGAUAAAUCUUUUGUUAAUGAGACAUGCUCAAAAUAAUUCCCAGUACAAUUACAGACAUUAAAAAGAGAUUGUAGAAUUUCUAAGCUACAGAGGUCGGUAUGACCACUUAGUGCAUUGUGGACUAUAGUUCAGGUGUCAAGUAUCUGUUAAAAACGAGUUGUGGAUUUCUGUGAAACGUUUUUCAUUUCCAAGGAUAAGAGAGUCAGUUAUGGCGGGGGCGGGGGGACAUGUCUGAGUUUAACCAGAUUGGGAGUGCAAAUAGAACCCUGGUAUUAUUUCAUAUGCCUAAAAAAUACGUAUUGGUUCUGAGGUGUUAAAGAGGUCAAGGUCAUAAGCCUUGGUUUGAGGAAGGACAGGUCACUAGGAUGAUGUGCAUAACUGUUGAUGAUCAAAAGUGCCUAAGAAGAUACUUGAAGCUCUAUAAGACUUUGCUCAGACUAUGGAAGAAAGUGGUAUAUCGUAUAGUAAACAUAAUUGAAUAAUCUAUUGUAAGUAAACAAAAUAAAAAACUGUGUACAUACAGUUUACUAUAGUUAUAGUAGACUGAAUGAUUGUUCCUUAUUCCUCCUUGUUCUAGAAUUGUGCGUUUUACAUUUAUGGCCAUUUCCAUGUGACUUUGUGCUUCCUCUAGAGAAAGCAUAGUACUUUCCCAAUCCAUUACGUCAGGCUUGACCAUAGACUUGCUGUAACCUUUGGAACUGGGUUGAAGGACAGUGUUCCUGUUUCAAGCUGAGGCCUUAACAGGCACUGCAAUUCUCUUCAACUUCUAUCAUCCAUUGUGAUAAUACCAUAGCCUAGGUAACCAAUGGCCCAUGGAAAAUUUGAAGAUACAUGAACCCAACUUAAUCCAACUCAGCCUGGAGCCCAGAGCUGGGAACCUGAAGUUGAGUUUUGUAUAAGCAAACUGCAGCAUCUCACAGAUCUGUGAGGGAGGCAUUAAUGCUUGCUGUUUUAAGCUACUAAAUGUUGGGGUGGUUUUUUAUGUAGCAUUAUUGUAGCAAUAGCUGACUGAGAGACUAGUAUUUUUUCCCUCUCCCUGUAAGUGUUUUGAAAUUGAUGGUAUAUCUAACAAUUCAUAGCAUUGUAGGAUGAAAGAAAUUCAGUAAUUACAUGGGUAAUCAUUUAAUUAGAAUUAUGAGAAGUGGUAUGAGAAGGGGCAAAAAACACAAAACACAGAGACGUAACCCAAUCUGAGAGUCAGGAAAGGUUUUUCUGAGGAAGUAACGUUGAAGCUGAGAUCUGGCCUUUGGCUAAACAAGGUUGGAGGAUGGGGAGCAUUCUAUCUGAAGGGAGCAGUUUUUGCAAAGCCCUUGAGGCAAAAAAAGAGCUCACUGUAUACUGAGAAGUAUCCGGAAAGCAGAGAGAAAUCAGGCAAAUGACAGAAGAGAAGUUGAUGAGGCUCAGUUUCACUCUGUGUGAUAGGCUGAACUGUGUCUCCCCAUAGAUUCACAUGUUGAAGCCCUACCUCCUACACCUUGGAAUGUGACUGUUUGGAGAUAAGGCCUGCAGAGAGGUAAUUAAGGUAAAAUGAGGUCAUGUGGGUGAGCCUAAAUCCAAGACUGGUAUCUUUAUAGGAAGAGGAGAUUAGGACACCCAAAGGAAAGACCUUGUGAAGACACAGAGAGAAGACAGCCAUUCAAAAGGAGAAAGGCCUCAGAAGACAUCAGCCCUGCCAACACCUUGAUCUUGGACUUCCAGCUUCCAGAACUAUAAAAAAUCAAUUUGUUGUCUAAGGCACCCAGUCUGUAGUAUUUUGUUAGGGAAGCUCUCAGAAACUAAUAAACACAGUAUGCCCUGGUCUAAGUAUGGUGCCCAUACAUAGUAGAAUGUGAAUUGACCAGAUUUAGAUAUCAGGAAGAUUUCUCUGGCUGCAAUAGAAAUGGGUUGGAAAGGGGGAGCAGGAGGAGGUUGUCACAGUAGUCCAGGGGAACAUGAUGGUGUCUUAGACCAAGGUGAGGCAGUGGAGAUGGAGACAAGUGGAUUGGUUGAAGAUAGAUACAUUCAGUAGAUAAUGUAUCUACCAACCAGGCUUGGUGAUUGAUUAGACAAGGAAGGUGAAGAGGCCAUCAAGAUGACAUUCUGGUUUGUAAAACAGGAAACAUGGAGUAGGACUAGAUUUGGGAAGAGGCUCACCAGUGUGGUUUGGGACAAAUUGUGUUUGAAGCAACUUCCAGUUAUAGGACUAUAGUGGUCUAGAUACCCUGAGUAUUCUCCCACUACAAAUGCUAGAAUGCUAGAUACCAUAAAAUAAAUAAUCUUAAUAGCUGAGUUUGGAAGAAAGAGAAAUCAUCAGGGUUGCCAAAAGGAAGAGAGAACUGAGAACCCAAACAGCUGUUGCAUAAGCUCACAUGGCAGGAGUAUGGCUGGUGUGGACUUGGGAGGUUGUUAUGGUCUCAGAAAUCUAGAGGUUUUCGGCCAGGCGCAGUGGCUCAUGCCUGUAAUCCCAGCACUUUGGGAGGCCAAGGCUGGUGGAUCAUGAGGUCAGGAGAUCAAGACCACCCUGGCUAACAUGGUGAAACCCCGUCUCUACUAAAAAUACAAAAAAAAUUAACUGUGCGUGGUGGCAAGCGCCUGUAGUCCCAGCUACUCAGGAGGCUGAGGCAGGAGAAUGGUGUGAACCCAGGAGGCGGAGUUUGCAGUGAGCCGAGAUCACACCACUGCACUCCAGCCUGGGCUACACAGGCAGACUCCGUCUCAAAAAAAAUAAAAUAAAUAAAUCUAGAGGUUUUCAUUCAUUUUCAAACUCACAGAGACAGAAGACAAGGCCUUGGAAAUUCUGGAGGGAGGUGGGGUGGGGUGUUGAGCCUGAACCUCUUAUGUAAAUCCAGGAUCAUUUAAGGGCUAUCCCUUCAGUGAAUUGGUAAGAUUAAAAUAAUAUAUACACAAGCACAAAGAGAAAACAAGGAAGCUUGUCUAUCUAGGUCUGGGCAGAGAGUGGAAAAUAAGCCUCUCCAGAGAAUUUGUAAUCACAGACAUGUACCUCCUACGAGCUCAGUGUCCAGAUUUCAUGCCCCGAAAAAUCUCAUGUUCAGAUGUCAACAUUUUCCCAGCAGAAGCAAACGGAGAACAAAUCUGGUGUGAUUAAAACAUCAUCCCAGGCCACACAUGAUUCCUCCAGAUGAAGCCUAUUAAAGAUGAGCUCACCAUUCAAAAUUACAAAACACACAGGGAAACAAUCCACCUUGAGAGACUUAGAAAAGAGUAAAAACAGCAGAAUCAUACCCCCAAGGAAUCUGAGAUAAUAGAACUACCAAAGGUGGAUUAUAAGAUACCUAAAGUUUAAAAUGAUUAAAACUAAAGAGAAAUAAAAAGUAUUAAUAAAUAAGAUGCAGAUAGAUUUGAAAAAGAAUCAAUUAGAAAUUCUAGAAAUGUAAAAUAAAGCUUUUGAAGUACAUUAAAUGGUUUUAAGGGCAUAUUAGUUACAGCUUAGAGGAAAUUCAUAAACUAGAAAAUAAAUCUAAGGUUAUUAAGGCAUACAUAUAUAAAGACAUAUAUAUACACACACACUACAUGUACAUAUAAGGCAUCUAGUCUAUCCAAUGUGUAUAUAAAUUUCUUUCUAAAUACAUACAUACACAGAUAUAUACAUAAAGGUUAGAAUAAAGAAAUUUCUGAAUAGGAAUUUCAUAAAGACUCUGUAGAGGGAAUUAGAGAAACUUUGCAUAUCAAAUCAGAUUACCUUUGAAUGAAUAAUAAUAAGAUUGACAAGAGACUUCUUAAUAGCAACAUAAUAGGAAAAAUAAAAUAACAUCUGUAAAAUGUUGAGAGAAAGUAGCUACCAAUCAGCAGUUCUAUAUCUAUAUAUAUUUUAUAUCCUAUGUAUAUGUUAUUCAAGAAUUAGAUCCAAUACAAAUAUUUAUUUCCAGAUAAUAAAUGAGAAGCUAUGAUUCACAGAACUUUGUUGAAAACCAAGUCAGAAUGUUCUUCAAUAGAAAGAAAUUGAAUCCAGAAAAGAAUAAUGUAAAAGAAGCAAUAGUGACAAAAUAAAAUAGCAAAUAUGUAGAUAAAUCUAAGCAAGUAUUUCUGAAUAAAAACAAAAUGGAACAUUUUUUAACUUUACAGUAGUUAUUUCUGAGGGGAGGAAGGCAAAACUGGACAGGUCAACCCUAUGAGUAAUGUUUUAUUUCUUAAGUUGAAGGGUGAAACAGAGGCUAUGAUUCUAUAAGUCUUUAUUUCUUUUUGUCUUAAAUAUACCAUAAGAAAUUUAGAAAUAAAUAAAUGGCUUUUUUUUUAAAGUUCAGUGGAUACAAGGGUCUGAAAGAUAGUAACAUUUAAGACAGGUAGGGAAUAAUCAGACUUUAAGUGUCUUUAUAUUCUUGUAUAGUUUAGAUGAAGGGUAGACAUAUUCAUUAACUCUAAGCCUUACAAAGCUAGGGUAAAAGAACAGAAAUAAAAUAUGUUAUUUCCAAACAAGAAGAAAUUAAGAAAAAAACUUAAUUGGCCCCCAAAUGAACAAGAAAGCAGGAAAACAUAAGGGCAGCAAGUAGAAACACAAAAUAUAAUGGUGAAGAUAAGUCCAAAUACACAAAGCAUUACAAUAAAUUAAACACUCUAAUGUUGCCAGCUAAAACAGAUAUUGAAAGAUUGAAUUUUAAAAAUUCAGGUAAAUGGUGUUUACUAAGGACACAUCCAAACCUUAAGGGCAUAGAAAGAUUGGAAGCAAAAUUCUAGGAAAAGAAAAACCAGCAAGUACUAACUGGAAAAGGAAAGUCUUACAUUAAUAUUAGAAAAAUAGACUUUAAGGCAAAAACCAUUAUUGAAGCAUUGUUAAGAAUAACAGUGGCUAGUGCAUAAUUUGGAAAAGUAUAAGUCACCUGAAAGACAUAGCAAUUCUAAACUUGUAUGCACCAAAUAACAUACAUUCAAAAUAUGUGACACAGAAAUUGAUCAAAUUGUGAGGGAAAAUUUAAAAAUCUACAACCUUAGUGGAAAAUUUUUAACACUCUUCUCUCACUAAUUGGUAGAUCAAGCAGACAAAAUCUUAGGAUAUAGAGGAUUUGAACACACAAAUUUUAAGUUUAAUAUGAUGGAUAUAUAUUGAAUCUUGAACCCAACAGUUUGAGAAUAUGAAAAUUUUCAAGUACACUUGAAGCGUUUACCAAAUUGACCACUACGAUGGUUAAUUUUAGGUGUCAACUUGACCAGAUUAAGGGAUACCCAGACAGCUGGUAAAGCAUUAUUUCUGAGUACGUCUGUGAGGGCAUUUACAGACGUGAUUAGUGUUUGAAUCAGUGGAUUGAGUAGGAAAGAUCUGCCCUUACUCAAUGUGGUGGACACCAUCCAGUCAGCUGAGGGCCCAAAUAGAACAAAAAGGCAGAGGAAAGCUGUAUUAGUUUGUUUUUACGCUGCUGAUAAAGACUAUACCCAAGACUGGGCAAUUUACAAAAGAAAGAGGUUUAAUGGACUUACAGUUCCACGUGGCUGGGGAGGCCUCAUAAUCAUGGUGGAGGAGCAAGCCAUAUCUUACAAGGAUGGCAACAGGCGAAAAGAGAGAGAGCUUGUACAGAGAAACUCCCAUUUUUCAAACCAUCAGAUCUUGUGAGACUUACUAUCAUGAGAACAGCACAGGAAACACCCGCCCCCAUGAUUCAAUUACCUCCCACCAUGUUCCUCCCACAAAAUGUGGAAAUUGUGGGAGUUACAAUUAAGAUGAAAUUUGGGUGGGGACAGAGACAAAUCAUAUCAUCCCACCCCUGGCCCUUCUCAAAUCUCAUGUCCUCACAUUUCAAAACCAAUCAUGCCUUCUCAACAGUUCCCCAAAGUCUUAACUCAUUUCAGCAUUAACUCAAAAGUUCACAGUCCAAAGACUUAUGUGAGACAAGACAAGUCCCUUCUGCCUAUGUGCUUGUAAAAUCAAAAGCAAGUUAAUUACUUCCUAGAUACAAUGAGGGUAAAGGCAUUGGGUAAAUACAGCUGUUCCAAAUGGGAGAAACUGGCUAAAACAAAAGAGCUACAGACCCCAUGCAAGUCCGAUAUCCAGCAGGACAGUCAAAUCUUAAAGCUCCAAAAUUACAUCCUUUGACCCCACAUCUCACAUGCAGGUCACACUGAUGCAGGAGGUGGGUUCCCAGGGUAUUGGACAGCUCUGCCAGGUCCUUUGCAGGGUACAGCCUCCCUCACAGCUGCUUUCACGGCUGGCAUUGAGUGUCUGUGGCUUUUCCAGGUGCACAGUGCAAGCCGUCAGUGGAUCUACCAUUCUGGGGUCUGAAGGAUGGUGGCCCUCUUCUCACAGCUCCACUAGGCAGUGCCCCAGUAGGGUGUCUGCAUGGGGGCUCUGACCCCACAUUUCCCUCUGUACUGCCCUAGCAGAAGUUCUCCAUGAAGGCCCCACCCCUGCAGCAAACUUCUCUCUGGACAUCCAGGCAUUUCUACACAUCCUCUGAAAUCUAGGUGGAGGUUCCCAAUACCCAAUUCUUGACUUCUUGAGCACUAUCAGGUUCAACACCACAUGGAAGCUGCCAAGGCUUGUGGCUUAUACCCUCUGAAGCUGCAGCCUGAGUUCUGUGGGGGCCCCUUUCAGCCAUAGCUGGAGCAGCUGGGACACAGGGCACCAAGUCCCCAGGCUGCACACAGCACAGGGACCCUGGGCCUCACCCAUGAAACCACUUUUUCCUUCUAAGCCUCCAGGCCUGUGAUGGGAGGGGCUGCUGUAAAGACCUCUGAAGUGCUCUAGAGACAUUUUCCCCAUUGUCUUGGUCAUUAAUAUUCAGCUCCUUAUUACUUAUGCAAAUUUCUGCAGCUGGCUUGAAUUUCUCCUCAGAAAAUGAUAUUUUCUUUUCUAUCACAUAGGCUGCAAAUUUUCUGAACUUUUGUGCUCUGCUUCCCUUCUAAAAGUGAAUGCCUUUAACAGCACCCAAGUUGCUUCUCGAAUGCUUUGCUGCUUAGAAAUUUCCUCCACCAGAUACCCUAAAUCGUCUCACUCAAGUUCAAAGUUCCACAAAUCUCUAGGGCAGGGGCAAAAUACCACCAGUCUCUUUGCUAAAAUAUAACAAGAGUCACCUUUGCUCCAGUUUUCAACAAGUUCCUCAUUUCCAUCUGACACCACCUCAGCCCGGACUUUAUUGUACUUAUUGCUAUCAGCGUUUUGGCAAAGCCAUUUAAUAAGUCUUUAGGAAGUUCUAAACUUUCCCACAUUUUCCUGUCUUAGUUUCUGAGUCCUCCAAACUUCCAACCGCUGCCUGUUACCCAGUUUCAAAGUCACUUCAACAUUUUUGGGUAUCUUUUCAGUAGAACCCCACUCCUGGUACCAACUUAUUGUAUAAGUUUGUUUUCUUACUGCUGAUAAAGACAUAUCUGAGACUGAGCAAUUUACAAAAGAAAGAUGUUUAAUGGACUUACAGUUCCAUGUCACUGGGGAGGCCUCAUAAUCAUGGUGGAGGAGCAAGUCACAUCUUACAUGGAUGGCAGCAGGCAAAGAGAGAGUGAGUUUGUGCCAGGAAAAUCCCAUUUUUAAAACUAUUAGAUUUCAUAAGACUUAUUCACUAUCAUGAGAACAGCAUGGGAAAGACCCACCCCCAUGGUUCAAUUACCUCCCACCAGGUUUCUCCUGCAAAACAUGAGAAUUGUGGGAGUUACAAUUCAAGAUGAGACUGGGUGGGGACACAGCCAAACCAUAUCAAAAAGUGAACUCUUUUUCUUUCUCUCUGUUCUGGAGGUAGGAUACCUUUCUUCUGCCCUGGGACACCAGAACUCCAGAUUCUCUAGUCUUUGGACUCCAAGACUUACCUCAGUGGCUACCCCCCGCACCCACCAGGUUCUAAGGUCUUUGGCCUCAGACUGAGAGUUACACCAUUGGCUUCCCUAGUUCUUAGGCUUUUGGACUUGGACCAAGCCAUGCUACUGGCUUUCCUGGUUCUCCAUCUUGCAAUGGCCUAUUGUGGGUUUUCUCAACCUCCAUAAGCACAUAAGCCACUAUCCCUAAUAUGUCCCCUUGCAUAUAUCUAUAUGUCUUUCUGUGUGUGUGUGUGUGUGUGUUUGUGUGUGUGUGUAUUCAUUGGUUCUGUCUCUAUGGAGAACCCUGACUAAUACAAUCACUAAUUGGGCUUUAAAGAAAACCUCAACAAAUAUAAGAGGUGAUCUGAAUAUUAUUAAUUUAGAAAUUAGAAAGUAGAUUUCAACACAAUGUUACUAAAUUAGAAAUAAAAAACAAAAAUCCUCAAUAUAUUUGAAAUGUAAAAUAUAUAUAAAGUAAGUUAUGACUUGAAGAAUUUCAGGAGAUGAAAAUAUCAAAUGGCAAAACUUGAGUCAUAUUCCUUCUACUUCCUGAAAAAUUCAAUCCUGAAGCCAUUAGGUGGGAUAGACCAAGAUAGGAGGAGCUGCAGUGUCCAGAGGUGGUAUCAGAGCCCAUGGACAAUAAGAACAUCACUCUGGGAUGGCAGGCAUCCUCGCAUGGGGAAUCAGCCUUAACAGGGUGAGGAAAUAUUCACACAGGCAGUUGAUGUGUUUGGGGAAGUCAGAGUCCAAACAGGGAGAGGAGGACAUCUGUGUAGGGCAAGGGUUCAUAGUGGGGAUGGAGAUAGAUUGCAUAAAGUGGGGUUGAUUGCAUAAGGAAAUAUCAGAAAAAUUAUGGAAGCUAGCCUUCUCACCAAUAGAGAAGGGAUCUACAUAUAUAGCAAGAGAGAAAACUAGAAUGAACGUGUGAAAUUGCAGGUGUCAGCAUGGACUCAUGGUAUUCAAUAUAUAGAGAUAGACAUAGAAAUUAAUUUAGAUGUAAAUAUGUGGUAUACACACACAUAUACCUAUCUGGGAUAGGACCUGGAAGUAGCAACACUCCAACAAGAGCAUGUACAGCACCCACAUCUUGGCUUUGAGGUACCAUUUUACAUAAAAGGAAAUAGGACUUGGAGAAAUGGCUGAUUCUGGGCCUAGAGGAGAAAAAAAAUUCAAGAAACCCUGGAACUUAUUGUGCCAGAAGCAAGGAAGUAUUUUUAUAAUGAUAAAGAUAUGUCAAAAGGACUUAGAAGCCAACCUAAAAGGGUUCUUACUGACCAAAUUGGCCAUAAUUUGAGUGCCAAAAUUGAUACUGAUAGUAUCAGUAAUAGUAACUUAUGAUAUUAAGUAAAAUAUGAGGCCUUACAAACAUAAAUAAAUGAGAAAAUUAAAAUGUGAUGAGGAGUGAGAUAUUUACAUAGUACUAUGGUUUAAAUGUAUGUGUUCCUCCAAAAUUCAUGUUAGAAACUAAUACUCAGUUUGUAAGUAUUAAGAAGUGAUUAUGUCAUGAGGGCUCUGCCCUCAAGAAUGGAUUAGUGUUCUUAUAAAAGAGGUUGAAGGAAGCCUAGUGAGUUUUUGCCUCUUUUUGCCCUUCUGCCUUCUGCCCUUGAGGACUUAGAAACAAGGUGCCAUUUUGGAAUUACAGAGCAGCUGUCAUCAGACACCAAAUCUGCCACCACCUCAGUCUUAGACUUCCCCGCCUCCGGAACUGGGAGACAUAAAUUUCUGUUGCUUUGAAGUUACCCAGUCUCCAGUGUUUUAGCAGCAUGAACAGACUAAGACACAUAGUUUCAAAGUACCUUCCCCCAAAGGGGGAUAAAGGUAACUUUAUGGUGGAGGAGUCUAGCAGAUAUCUCUUUCAUGAAAUGGUCAAAGUGAGUAUCAGUUACUGAAAGCACUCAUGACCUGGUAAAAUGCAUUGAGAAGAACACAGCAUCACUGCUAUGGUAUUAUAACCUGAAUCUAUUAUAAAGAAACAUCAGACAAACUUAACUGUGGGAAAUUCUAUAAAGUAACUGAACUCAUCCUGAAAAGUAUUGAAGUCAUAAAAGUCAACAAUGGACUGAAGAAUAUUCUAGGCUGAAACAGACUAAAAAGAUAUAUUAGCUAAAUGCAUUGUGUGAUUCUGAACUGGAUCCUUUUAUUUCAAAAAAUAUCAUUGCAUUAAUUGGUGAACCUGGAAUGUGGUCUGUAGACUAAAGAGAAUUGUAUCCAAGUUCCUAUCUGAUUUUAUUGGUUGUUUUGCAGAUAAUAAAUUCUUAUUAGUAGAAAACACACAUGAAAGUGUUUGGGGGCUAAUGAACCAUGGGGUUAAUUUACAAGGAAAAACAAAAUAUUUGUACUAUAUGUACAACUUUUUUGUAAAUUUUUAUUGUUUCAAAAUUUAAAGAAAACACCCAAUAGCAAAAUUUUAUAAUGCAUGAUGUGGUUUAAGUUGUACCAAGAGGUAAAUGUACAGCCUUCACAAUUUAUAAUUAAAAAGAAGAAAGAUGAAAAUUAGAGCUAGAUGAGGUGGCAUGUCCCACUCACUAGAAAGGCUGAGGAGGAUUGCUUGAGCCUGGGCGGGAGUUCCGGGCAGUAGUGCACUAUGAUCACACCUGUGAAUAGCCACUGCACUCCAGCCUAAACAACAUAAUGAGGCCCUGUCUCAAAGAAAGAAAGGAAGGAAGCAAAGUAGUGAAUUAACUGUUCUAGUCAAUAUGUUAGGGAAAAAAUUAUAAACUCUUAAGAAAAGGAAAUUAAAAUGUCAAACAACAAAAUUAAUGAACUAGAAGACAAAGAAACAAGAGAGAGGAUAAGUGAUGACCUUUAUUCACCUUUGGGCAGUAGCUAAGGCUUUCUUCACCUGUGUAAAAAAUGGAUGCCACAGCAGAAAGAGGAAAAAAGAGUCAGUUCUCAGUUUUUUGAAUUUCAAGCCCCUUGGCAUUUGUGUAUUACACGGGAAGGCCCUAAAGAUCUCAAGACAUGACAUUAAUUUCAUGGACAAAAGAAGGAAAGCACAGAGAACAGAGCUUUGAUGUUGGUGGCAUCUCUGUGAAGGGACUUUGUGCCCUGACCCUCUCACCUAAGUUGGGAGAAAUGCCCAUAGGGCAGGAGAAUCUGGCAGCAAAAAACUCUGUGGUCUUAUAUCUUGGGAGGCCAAGGAGGCCUUCAGCCUCACCAGUUCCAAUUCCUCCGUGCUCGCCAUAGCAAAGGAGCAGUAGGAGAGAGGUGAUUAUGUGGGGUGUUCAGGUAACCAGCCUGAGAACGCUUCUGCAUUCCCGACAUCCCAAUGGGUCUCCGAACAAGUCACAUAGCUUCUGUAGGCCAAAAAUGCUGAGCGGGAUUUGGCCUAAGAGGCCUCAUAGUGGGUAUAGUAAGGUUAGGGUUAGGGUGGGUUUAGAUAGGAUGGUAGCAUCUCAGAGACUUGCUUGAAUUGACACUGGGGGACCAGAAUGGGCACAAUAUCUCUGUUGAUGUCAGCAUGAAGAGAUGAUGACUUGUCCCCUUGUUCCUCCAUAAGCUACCUUCAACAGAGUUCUAAAAAUAACCCAAUGGCUCUUUUAUAAGUUAUGAGACGCAUGGAUGGAUGGAUGGAUGAACGGAUGGAUGGACGGAUGGAUGGACAAAUGAAUAAUAAACGGGAAAUCCCUAAAGUACAUCAAUUUAAAAGCAACUAUGUUUCAGGACUUCACCUGGGAAAGCCACCUAGUAGAAAGCCAAACUACCCUCAUUCUCUUGUGCCCAUCUUCACACUGCUUUCCAAGAUAGCAGCAAUGAAGUGUGGGAAAAGAAUAGAUUCUUAUAUCCUUUAUUGUUCUGCAGCUGAAAUAGUCCCAAGGUCAGUCAAUAAGCAAGUGGCUUUGCCAAACGGCACAUUAGAAAAAAAAAAAUCAUUGGGAGCUUCAGAAACUGACAAGUGUUUAAAAAAAGAUGUGUCUUCCAAGUUUGCUUUUUACUGAAGAAAAAUAAAGGGCAUUGGAAUUAUUUUCUGCCCUGUUUGGAAUCUUAUAUUUUUAUCUUGGUCUUUCUUGGUUUUUAUUUGUAUACUUAGGGAGAUCUUAGUGGGAGCAAAUGUGUAAUUCUAAAGCAGUCUACAAAUGUACACUCACAGUGCAUAACCAAACCACAAUUUUAUGCAGAUUUUUUUCUCUGUCUUAGAUUCUGCAGUUCUUAAAGGAAAAUGUGAAUGCAAUGGUGUGUCACAACUGCGAUUAGAGAAGUCCAAGGGAAAAGAGUACAACAUGCUGAUCAACCUUGGCAUUCCCCACAUACAGCAUGAUUAUAUUGUAAUACUGUUUGAUGCAAUUGUAUGUUUGAUCAGCUUCAAGAGAUGAAUAUCACCUCACUUCAAACAAUAUGAUACAGUCUCAUUGUAUGGAAUUAUGGCUGCUGUCAAUCAGCAUAUGGCAUAACCCUUAAAGUGCCAUCUUUGGGGAAUGUCAUAAAAAUGAUUGCAACACUUGCAUUAAUUAGUAAGUUUUUGCACUAAAACCAAGCAAAACCUGUCAAGACAAUGUAUCUUCUAUAUCUCUGUUCAUUUUUGUUAUCAUAAAAUCAUGUAUAUAACCCAUACAUGCAUACACUCAGCUGAUUAGCUGAACUUGUUAGAACAGCCAUGCUAAUAAAAAUAUUAUAAGUGUGAGCCCCUCUGUAUGGAUCAUUAAGCUAUCUUUUCCAUGUUUUGUUUGAUGAUCCCAAAUAUACAUCUGCUUUGAACCAACUAUCUUAUCAUAGUGAGAGAUAGGUGGAAAGUAAGGACAAACAUUAGAUUAUCAUCAGGUCUAUGGUCUCAAAAAAACUCAAAAUUUAAGCUUGACAAAUGACGAAUAAUGGCAUGUGGACAUGUUUACAUGUGGUAAAUAUAAAAUCAGUCUUUGGAAUGUCAUUAAUUUCACAUUGUCAAGGUUCAUGGACACAGCAUUUUGAGGAAAUAAGAAUUGUGAUCUAUUUUUACUUCGGCUAUGAAAUAAUUUCCCUCUUGUUUGAAGAUAUUUAUUAUUUGUUAUUGUCUUGGUCUCAGGUUUUGCCAUCAUCACCUAGUAAUACAUGAUUUUACGACCUUGACCUGAGACUUCACACACUUUCCCAAGGAGACUAAUACCAGAUUCAACCAUGUUUGUUGAUUGUCUAUAUCACUAGAGUAUUAUGAACCUUUUCCCAAGGAAUUCCUCACUCAUCAUGUCUCUUGGCAUCCUUCCUACUUUUCCAGUGUCCUUUACUCCUUUAUGAACUGAGCAAUUAUUGCUGUGAUAGACUUCUAAAAUGGCCCCAAUGUUUUCUGUCUUCUGGUAUUCCUGAUCUUAUGGAAUCCCCUCCCUUUGAAUGAGGACUGGUCCUAGUGACUUCUUUCUACUGAAUAGAAUAUGGCCAGAGUUAUUGGAUGCCACUUCCAAAAUUAGGUUAUAAAAGACUGUGACUUCAGUCUUGCUAGCAGAGUCCCUUUCUCUCUUGCUGGCUUUGAUAAAGUGCAUUUCCAUGUUAGAAAGCCCCACAUGGCAAGAAUCUGAGGGAAGCCCCUGGCCAACAGCCAGCGAGGAACUGAGACCCUCUUUCCAGUCACCUAUGAGGAACAGAAUCCUGCUCAGCUACCACUGAGUAAGCUUGGAAAGGGAUCCUGUCUCAGUUGAACUUUGAUGUGACUGUGCCACCAGCUGAUAUCUGAAUUGCAGCCUUGUAAGAGAUCCUAAAGCAGAGGACCCUGCUAAGCUAUGCCCGGAUUCUAAAGCAGAGAACCCUGCUAAUUUGUGCCCGGAUUCCAAAUCCACAGAGUCUGUGGAGUAAUACAUGUUUGUGGUUUUAAGCCACUAAACUUUGGGUUUAUUUGGGACAACUAACACACCUUCAGUUGUCCCUCGGUAUCAAGGGGAUUGAUUCCAGAACCCAUGCAGAUACCAAAAUCCACUGAUGGUCAAGUCCUUUUGUAUAAUAAAAUGCAGUAGUAUUUGCAUAUAACCAGUGCACAUCUCUAGAAUACUGAUAAUGCCUAAUACAAUGUAAAUGCUGUGGAUAUAGUUGUUACACUGUGUUGGUUUUUAAAAUUUGUAUUUUUAUUGUUGUAUUAUUUUUAUUUACCGAGUAUUUUCUAUCCUUGGCUGGUUGAGUUCACAGAUGUGGAACCCGCAGGUGUGGAGGGCCAACUGCACAGCUUCUUUUGUAGUGACGAGUAAAAUAGUGCAGGGGGGUAGGCAUCAUCACAUUUGAGCCUUCAAAAUAUGGAAGGUUUCAUACUACUGGCAGGUUUUGUGGAAAUGCUGACCAGGUCCACAAAGACUUAUGUGUAGUCUCUAUGACCUUCCAGUAAAGAUCCUACCAUCAUUCAUGGGCAAGAAUAUUGACCAGUGUUUACACUUUGGGUUAGGAUUGUAAAGUGUUGAAGUAUAAAGCUGUCCUUUCUUUUUCCAACGCAAGUUUUGACAUACUGGGACUGUGGAAAUAUCACAUGGUAUGUAUUAAUGUCACCAGUGCUACACAGACACACCUGUCUUGCUUUAUAGAUUCUUUCUCACAUCCUCAUAUUAUGUUGGCAGCUUGUUGAAUUCUAGGCUUUGGGGUAGAAUUUUUGACAAUUCUACUAGAAGCUUGAAAAAAUGAGAGGUAGAUUGUCUUCUGUGAUGAUUUGAAGAAUAGGUAUUACAACAGGGUUAUAUAAUUUGUGAAAUAUUUUAUUAUUUACUCAAUUAUCCACAUUUAUAGAGGCCACCAGUGAUGAAAAGUAUUUACAACAGUCAAUAAUCAAACACUUUUUAUUUUGAGAUUUAAUACAUGUAUUAAAUCUCUGCUGAGUGUUUUUAACCUAAUAUUACGAAUGUACUGUUUCAUUGAUUCAUAGCUCUGCUGGUGUAGAGACAACUCAGUCAGGAGCUGGCUGGCAGAAGGAAGUCAGUUUGGUACCGGACAUGGUCCCUGGGUGGGCCAGGUGUGAUUUAUCAAGAAUUGAUUUAUUUGAAAGUUCCCAAGUACACUAGGAUUUAAAACAAUAAUGAAAAAACUACCUUUUUAUUAGAUUAACAAAUAUUUUUAAAAAGAAUUAUACUCCGUUUAGAUUAUAAGGAAAAUGGCUCAUGCACAGUUGGUGGGAGUGUAAAUUGGCACAACCGUCUUGGAGAGCAAUUUGACAAACUACUUCAACACUGUAAGUCCAUUUCAUGUCUAGGAAUUUAUGCCAAGAAAAUAAAUCUGAACUUGCAAAGAUGUUAAAAGAUGUUUAUGAAAUCACUGUUUAUAAGAAUAAAAAAUUUAUGCAAUCUAAAUAUCUGUCAAUAGAUUUAAAUACAUUAUGAAUUAUACAAAAUAAAGGCUACAAUAACCAGUUAAUGAGAAACAUUUGUGCCAAAGAGUGGUAUCAGCAAUCUAUUAUUAAUUUUUAGUUAGUAUUAACUACACACACACACACACACACACACACACACACACUAUGGCUCCAACCUUGUUUAAAAAAAUGACAACCCUAUGUAAUCAUGGGCAAACUACUGAGAGCAUACACCUACACCAAAUCAUUAAAACUGGUUUUCUCUAACAGAGAAAUUAUUGUGAGAUAUUUGAAUAUUUUGCAGCAAGCAUGUAUUAUUUAUUAGUCAGAAAAUAGCUAUUUUCACUUUGAAAAAAUUCUAGAUAUUAAUUUUUGUCUUUUGUCUUUUGGACACUGAAAAAAGAUUCAACACAUAAUCAUCUGUUUCAUUUUGUCCUCCAGUGGCUCAUCUAUUUUUUAUUUCUUAGAUCAGUUAGCAUUUAUUAAGCACCUAUCAUGUGUCUAGCACUGUGGUUGUCACUAAAGAAACAGAUAAAUGAGACAAUCUCUGACUCAAAUGAAGAAGACGUGAAUUUCACAUGAAAUAAGGUUUACCGAUGCUCUGUUGGAGUAGAUGCAAGAUAAGGUGGGGGUCACAGAAGAGAGUGAUCAAUUUAAAAUUAUGAAACAAUUCAUGAAUAUGUGUGUCAUUUUUGCAGGUAUUCCAUCCACUACAAAAUUACAAAUAUCUUGACACUGAUUUUAUGGCAUAUACUUUUAAUAUCAUCUCCAUAAGGCCCAGAGUCUAGCUGAUGGUGUGCCAAGUAUCCAAAAAAAUACCUUGGCAUUCAAUCAAGAUAGUCAUUGCUGGAGUAGUGCUUUUCGAACUUUUGGAAUUUAAGACUCACAUUCAAAUACUAGAAUAUGCAGUGGUACAUCGGAAUGGAUUAAAAAAUUCGAAGCACACUAAACAAAUGACACACUGAGUGAAGAAAAGAGGUAUGACUGUAAUCCCAGCACUUUGAGGGGCUGAGAUGGAGGGAUCACUUGAGGCCAGGAGUUUGAGACCAGCCUGGGCAACAUAGCCAGACCAUGUCUCUAUUAAACAAAACAAAACAAAAAAAAAAAAAAAAAAAAAAAAGGAAAGAAAAUUAGGUGGAAGAAGAGAAGUAAAAGACAAGGCAACUGAAGAACAGAAGAGAGAAAGGAGCUGACAUUUUGAAUGUGAGUACAAGUGCCUCCGUUUCUUCAUCUAUCACUAUGAAAAUGUCAGGACAUUCUUUGUUAGUAAUGACUACUUGGAAAAAGAGUUCUUUGGGAUGAAUACAGCUAUGUGCAACUUAGCUUGAAUUACAUUCUGCAAUCUGUGAGACCAGUGAGACAUUGUCCAGUUGAAAAGUCUCUAGGCUUAAAUCAAGCUGUACAGGGUCUAUGUAGUCCAAGCUUUCGUUAAAUGACUGUGCAAUCUGGAUCACAUUAUAUGUCCUAAGUGUGUUCCAGUAUCCCUAUUUGUUGAAAAAAGGAGAUGUGAGCUACCCAUCUCACACGCCUAAUGUGAAAGUGUAAGAGACAUUGAGUACAUGAGACAUUUCAGUACAAGUGUUCUGAAAAAUUCAAAACCAAUGCAAAAUUCAGUCUUCAGAACCAAAUAAAGUUCAUUUUUCCCCCACUAAACCAUUAAUGAAUGACUUCAGUUAAUAAAAGGGUGUGACUUGCCAAGGAAUGGAUUAGUAUUCAUUAUAAAAAUUACAUUAUAAUUAAUGCACUCAUUAAUGAUCUACCAAUCAAUAUCAAUUGAAGGUCUAUUAUUUUAAGGAGGAUGGGCAAUUAGCAGUUUGACACCAUGAGAAAGAGAUAACCAGCUGACUGAUAGGUCCCCAUCAAGUUUAAUUUUAAUUUGUUUUAAAAGGAUCUUCUUUAGGAGUGAGUUUAGAUGCACAUCAUUCUUUCUUCUUUCAGAAAACGAAUAUAUAUGUUGUUUAAAAAGCAUAUCAGAAUGACAAAGAAUGCAGUCUGGCAUAUGUAGCAAGGAAUGAGCACAUCUUCUAAAUGGGCUGGAUGGUAUGGUGUAAGUUCUAUUCUCUCGCACAGUAAUAUAACUGGAUUGCUCUUUAAAUUAAGUGAAUUUGUAUGUCCGCUUUCUCUUAAUGGAAUCAGUUUUGAUAUACUCUUUGUUCAUGCUGUUACCGGCUUCAGUCUAAGGUUUCUUUGUAUUAACUUUUUAAAGUUACAUUACAAAGAGGUUUUAAGAUUUCCCAAUAGGCUUUUAUUUAACUGAAGCUUUUGAUCUCAAACCUGCUGGGGCCUAGUGAAAUCCUUACCAAUUCUCCAGUAACUCCUCACUAUUGGAAUUUGAAAAGACCCAUCUGAAGGAUUUAACUCCCUGUAUGGCUUCAGCCACCCUUCAGAUCGUGCUAUUCAAGCAGACAGCGAGGGGUUCUAGUGUACCCUUUGUGAUCGCUAAGCAGCCUAAGGUGUCCUUUGCAGAAGUUGUACUCCUGAGGAAAUAAAAAUCAGGAGGACACAGACCUAUAUACCUUGUUUCCUGCUAUCUUCAGUUAAAGGGGGAUAGCAGGGGGUCUGCUUAACAUCCUUUGCUACCUAAAUACCUUUUGGACAUGGGAACUCUAUAAAAGAACUUUCAUUGCAUCCAUUACCCUACUGCAGUGCAUAACAAAUUAGAUUUAAAAGGCUACUUUUUUUCCCUUACAGCAAUUUCCAUCAUUUUCUUUAAAAUUUCAAUUUAGUGUCUAGUGACAAAAUAUUCUAUAAUGUACUUUAAAACUCUAUAAUGUCAAUUAUGCUAACUGAAUAUCAUUUCCAAAGAAUUAGGCUUAUGUUAUUACAGAAAAAUCUUAGUUUAAAAGAUCAGGUAAAGAGAGAAGUAGAGAACUGAUUCAUGCUCAAAAGGUGUUAAAUAUAAAACUAGAUAAAACAAAUACUGUUUCUGAAAAUCUUUUUAAAAAUACAAAUAUGCAUUAAUUUUCUAUUUAACCCUCAACUCCCAGUUUUAGAACAAUUUUGUAUUUUAAGUUGAAAAAUGUUAAUGCCAAAUAUUAACCUAUUUUUAGAAAGAGUAAAAUAAUUCUAAGAAAAUUCCCAAUUAUAGUAUUUAGAUAUCUUUAUUUCAUUUGAAAACUCCAUCGUGCAGAGAUUUUAGAACAUGUAAACAACAGUAAGCAUGAAAAGCAAAUAAAACUUCAUAAAGAACACAAUAUUUGCUGCUGUGUGUGGGGAGAACAGAUGUAGCUAUGCACCACUUCUCCUGUGUAAACAUUUAUCUUUACCUUUCUAUUAACCUGAAGUAAAGCCUUUUCAUUAUUAAAAAAUUAUUUAAAUUCUAUGUUGAUAAAUAGAAAUCAACUUAUUCCUAUGUUACUUCUUUGUAUCGGAUGUUACUAUCUGGGACAAAGCCUCAAAUUAGCUUUAUAUCACAGAACCAGAAAGAAAUGUGUUUCCAGAAGUUGUAAAAUGUUUGCCAUUUAGUUCCACUGUGAUUCGAGGGCAUAUUCUCUCACACUGUACACGCGCCACAUAUUACUAGACCUCAGAGGUUCAUCCAUCUCAGGGUGGUUUCACCCCUUUGGGCUCUCGUGUAACUACAGAAAACCAGUCUUGAACAAUCUCAAUUCUGAACAUGUGGUAGAGUUGUCAGAGAAUGUUUUCAGUCUGGGUUUGAGGACUAACGUUACCAUACCUUAGAACAUGACAUAAUUGUAUCAUAUCUUGAUUUAUUAAUUUCCAUAAACAUUUGUUACACAUCUUAUUUGUACAUGUGUAGCUGCCUAGUGGAAUGGUAUUUUCUGCGUUUAAUAAUAACUGAUUAUAUGAAGAUAAGGUGAUAUGAAUUCUUUCUCUGGAGAAAUAGGGCUCAAAGACUUGCAGAACUGUGACAAUGGGGGAAAUUAUGCAAAAAAUUUGGAUUUUUAUGGAUAAUAUAAUACAAAUGUUACUUAAGAUAUGUUGUGUUCCAGUAAUACUCUGCUCCUUUGUAAAAACAAACAAACAAACAAACAAACAAAAACUAUGCAUUUUUAAUGUGUGGGCAAAAGGUUUAACAAAGUAUUUCUCAUAAUCCAAAAUUUACCCUCAUCACUCUUAUUCAUAGUAUAAAUAGUUACAAUUUUGGAGAUAGUUAGUCUUGCAAUAUUUAUCAUUUUAAAAAUAUAGAUCACCUUUGAUUAAAAACAUGACACUUUCAAAAAUUUAGCCUCUAGGGAUACUCACAAAAUUGGUAUAGCUGUACUUAGAAGAAUGUUCAUUAGAGCAUUAUGUGUGAGAAUAAAAAAUCAUGGUCAAUCUAAA